rnacentral:rRNA from 1 species
GCUGUCGCUAUGGGAUGGCCCCGCGGUGCAUUAGCUAGUUGGUAAGGUAAAGGCUUACCAAGGCGAUGAUGCAUAGCCGAGUUGAGAGACUGAUAGGCCACAUUGGGACUGAGACACGGCCCAAACUCCUACGGGAGGCAGCAGUAGGGAAUCUUCCACAAUGGACGCAAGUCUGAUGGAGCAACGCCGCGUGAGUGAAGAAGGUUUUCGGAUCGUAAAGCUCUGUUGUUGGUGAAGAAGGAUAGAGGUAGUAACUGGGCUUUAUUUGACGGUAAUCAACCAGAGAGUCACGGGCUAACUACGUGCCAGCAGCCGCGGUAAAU